rnacentral:rRNA from 1 species
AUGGAAUCCGGCGGCGGCGCCCGCGUACGGCGGCAGCUCCAAGCCGUGGGACGUGUCGCGGGGUACCUCGGCGGCGGCUUGCUCCUCCUCUCCACAGCAUCCACCGCCGCCGUUCGCUCCCUCCGCUUCCUCUCCGAUACCAACCAGAGAAAAUUCGCGAUGCAGUGUGGUGCCUGCGAGGGGAAGGGAACCUACGGGUGCAGGCUCUGCAGGGGUAGCGCCACGGUCGAAUGGUCUCGGCUCUACGACCCGGUGUUCGUUAACCCGUGUCUCUGCCCUACUUGUGAUGGUACCAGGGUACAGCGCUGCUUGAAUUGCAUGGGCAAAGGCUAUGCAUGA